rnacentral:lncRNA from 1 species
UUAAAAUGCAAUAAAAUUCACUUGACAGGUGAAGUAUUAUUAGAAAAUCUCAAGAAGACAGACAAGCAAAGGAGGAGAAACAGUCGCAGGCAAGAGGAGACCAGAGAGACGUAACUAAAUGUCAUGUGGGAGCUUGGACCACAGAAGGCACCUUAGUUUAACUGAAGCCAUGACACUGACCACCAUGACCCAAUCUUUCAAAACCAGUGAUGUGCCAUGAGUGCCAUUUUGUGAGAAGCCAUUUGUAUUUUGAGCAAACUCAGUGGCCUGAUGAUGACUGACAGGGAUGGCAACAUAACAGCAUACAUGGACUCAAGAUAUAGCAGAGAAGAACUUCUUAUACAUCAGCUCAUUUACUCCUUACAGCAACCCUAAGAAGUAGGUAACGUUAUCAUAUCCUAUUUCACAGAAAGGAAACAGACAGUACAAGCAACCUGCCAGAAGUCACACAGUCCAUUAGUGGGGAACUGGGAUUCAACCCUAAAAGUCAGGUUCCAGACAAUCGUGCUAAAUGUUUGGAGUCCCUGCCUGUCCUUCAAUUGGAGGGAAGAUUAAGGGGCAACUGAACACAACCUGCAAAUUUCACCAGAGAAGUUGUGACUUGAAUGCAAUCCAGAAAUGUAGCUGCCAGAUGCCGUUUUCCCAACAUUUGAAAAUCUGGGCUAAAGCGAAUUUCAUUGUAUCGGGAGGGAAAAGGAAUGGACUUAUUAUAUGAUGGUACAUACACAGCUUCAAAAAAGAAGACAUGCAUAUUAAUUACACAGAAGAAUGUCAGUGAUACAGAAAUUGAGAGAAAAAUAUAAACGUAUAAAAGUAUAUAAAAUAUGAUGCUACUGCUGUUCAGAAAAAUUUUUUAAACACACAUACACAAUUAUAUGUGCAGAGAAAAAAGGUCUGAAAUAAACAAGGUGAUCAGCAGAUAAAUCCAUCCAGUGAACAGAAACUUUUUUAAUCUGUAAAUUUCUGUAACCAUGGAUUUAAAAAUCUAUAUUUAAAAUGUAUACAAUAAAAGUCAAUUAAAACAAUACCUGCAGCCCAGUAUCAGAAGGUUUUAUGUACAGAACCUCCCUGUUUUAUUUUUCUGUCUAUGUCUUAGAUGUACUUUCAUUUUUAAGUAUUUCUGUUUCAUUUGAGUAGAUAUAUGACA